rnacentral:tRNA from 1 species
GCGCCCGUAGCUCAACGGGAUAGAGCAUCAGCCUUCUAAGCUGAGGGUUGGGAGUUCGAGUCUCCCCGGGCGCA